ACCGGUGGCGAUGGCGAAGAGGCCACACCCGUACCCAUCUCGAACACGGAAGUUAAGCUCUUUAGCGUC
rnacentral:rRNA from 1 species